rnacentral:rRNA from 1 species
UGAGUAACCUGCCCUGGACUUUGGGAUAACCCUCGGAAACGGGGGCUAAUACCGGAUAUGACGGCUCACCGCAUGGUGUGGUUGUGGAAAGUUUUUCGGUCUGGGAUGGGCUCGCGGCCUAUCAGCUUGUUGGUGGGGUGAUGGCCUACCAAGGCGAUGACGGGUAGCCGGCCUGAGAGGGCGACCGGCCACACUGGGACUGAGACACGGCCCAGACUCCGUACGGGAGCA